rnacentral:snoRNA from 1 species
GACUAGGGUGAUGAAAAGGAAUCCUUAGGCGUGGUUGUGGCCGUCUUGGUCACCUGUAUACCACUUGCCAAUGCAAGGACUUGUCAUAGUUACACUGACUGUGU